AGCUCCAAUAGCGUAUAUUAAAGUUGUUGCAGUUAAAACGCUCGUAGUUGAAUUUCUGCACAAAUUUACGGCUUCGACUUCUUUUUUAGUUGUUGUUAAGCUUGUAUAUUUGUGUAUCUUCAUGUUGUUUAGUAUAUUCUGGUUGUUUAACUACAUCCAAGUAUACAUUACAUAAUGACAUGACAUUUACUUUGAGAAAAUUAGAGUGUUUCAAGCAGGUUUUUACUGCCUUGAAUACUUCAGCAUGGAAUAAUAAGAUAAGACUUUGGUUUUAUGUUAUUGGUUCAAAAACUAAAGUAAUGAUUAAUAGGGACAGUUGGGGGCAUUUGUACUUACCUGUCAGAGGUGAAAUUCUAUGAUUAGGGAAGGACAAACAACUGCGAAAGCAUUUGCCAAAGAU
rnacentral:rRNA from 1 species